UCCCUGGUGGCUCAACUUGUAAAGAAUCUGCCUGCAAUGCAGGAGACCCAGGUUUGAUCCCUGGGUCGGGAA
rnacentral:tRNA from 1 species